rnacentral:rRNA from 1 species
GAAUUUUGGACAAUGGGGGCAACCCUGAUCCAGCAAUGCCGCGUGUGUGAAGAAGGCCUUCGGGUUGUAAAGCACUUUUGUCCGGAAAGAAAUCGCACUGGCUAAUACCUGGUGUGGAUGACGGUACUGGAAGAAUAAGCACCGGCUAACUACGUGCCAGCAGCCGCGGUAAUACGUAGGGUGCGAGCGUUAAUCGGAAUUACUGGGCGUAAAGCGUGCGCAGGCGGUUGUGCAAGACCGAUGUGAAAUCCCCGGGCUCAACCUGGGAAUGGCAUUGGUGACUGCACGGCUAGAGUGUGUCAGAGGGGGGUAGAAUUCCACGUGUAGCAGUGAAAUGCGUAGAGAUGUGGAGGAAUACCGAUGGCGAAGGCAGCCCCCUGGGAUAACACUGACGCUCAGGCACGAAAGCGUGGGGAGCAAACAG